GACGAACGCUGGCGGCGUGCUUAACACAUGCAAGUCGAACGGACAGGCCCGGCUCUUGUGGGGUGCUCGAGUGGCGAACGGGUGAGUAAAACGCGAGUAACCUGCCCCUGACUGUGGGGUAAAUCCAGGGAACACGGGCUAAUACACCAUAGGAGCUCCUGCAGCAUGUGGGGGGUAGGAAAAUUUCGGCGGUUGGGGAUGGACUCGCGGCUUAUCAGCUUGUUUGUGGGGUAGUGGUUUACCAGGGCUUUGACGGCUAGCCGGCCUGGGAGCGUGACCGGGGACCUUGGUCCUGAGGGAGGGCCCAGACGCCUACGGGAGGCAGUGGUCGGGAAUAUUGCGCAGUGGGCGGAAGCGUGAUGCGGCAACGCCGCGUGCGGGAUGACGUGCUUCGGGUUGUAAACCGCUGUCGCCGGUGCCGAAGCGAGAGUGACGGUAAUGGGUAAAGAAGCACCGGCUAACUACGUG
rnacentral:rRNA from 1 species